rnacentral:rRNA from 1 species
ACGAUGCGACGCCGCGUGGGGGAUGAAGGUCUUCGGAUUGUAAACCUCUGUGUUAUGGGAAGAAUUGCUAGUGGGUGAUAAGCCUGCUAGCGUGACGGUACCAUAGUAGAAAGCCCCAGCUAACUACGUGCCAGCAGCUGCGGUAAUACGUGGGGGGCAAGCGUUGUCCGGAUUUACUGGGCGUAAAGCGUGUGUAGGCGGCUAUAUAAGUCGGGUGUGAAAUGGCUUGGCUCAACCAAGCAACUGCGCUCGAUACUGUAUGGCUUGAGUACGGAAGAGGAAAGUGGAAUGUAAGGUGUAGCGGUGAAAUGCGUAGAUAUCUUAUAGAACACCUAUGGCGAAGGCAGCUUUCUGGUCCGAUACUGACGCUGAGUAUACGAAAGCUUGGGGAGCGAACGGGAUUAGAUACCCCGGUAGUCCAAGCUGUAAACGAUGGGUACUAAGUGUAGGGGGUAUUGAUUCCUCCUGUGCUGUAGCUAACGCAUUAAGUACCCCGCCUGGGGAGUACGGCCACAAGGUUAAAACUCAAGGUAAUUGACGGGGGGCCGCACAAGCGGUGGAGCAUGUCGCUUAAUUCGAAGCAACGCGAAGAACCUUAUCCAGGGCUUGACAUCGCGCUGACCGCCAUAGAAAUAUGGCUUUCCUUUUGGACAGCGUGACAGGUGCUGCAUGGCUGUCGUCAGCUCGUGUCGUGAGAUGUUGGGUUAAGUCCCGCAACGAGCGCAACCCCUGUCGCUAGUUACCAUCAGGUAAUGCUGGGGACUCUAGUGAGACCGCUGGUGACGAGCC